AUCCUGGCUCAGGACGAACGCUGGCGGCGUGCCUAAUACAUGCAAGUCGAGCGAGCUGAACCAACAGAUUCACUUCGGUGAUGACGUUGGGAACGCGAGCGGCGGAUGGGUGAGUAACACGUGGGGAACCUGCCCCAUAGUCUGGGAUACCACUUGGAAACAGGUGCUAAUACCGGAUAAGAAAGCAGAUCGCAUGAUCAGCUUAUAAAAGGCGGCGUAAGCUGUCGCUAUGGGAUGGCCCCGCGGUGCAUUAGCUAGUUGGUAGGGUAACGGCCUACCAAGGCAAUGAUGCAUAGCCGAGUUGAGAGACUGAUCGGCCACAUUGGGACUGAGACACGUCCCAAACUCCUACGGGAGGCAGCAGUAGGGAAUCUUCCACAAUGGACGAAAGUCUGAUGGAGCAACGCCGCGUGAGUGAAGAAGGUUUUCGGAUCGUAAAGCUCUGUUGUUGGUGAAGAAGGAUAGAGGUAGUAACUGGCCUUUAUUUGACGGUAAUCAACCAGAAAGUCACGGCUAACUACGUGCCAGCAGCCGCGGUAAUACGUAGGUGGCAAGCGUUGUCCGGAUUUAUUGGGCGUAAAGCGAGCGCAGGCGGAAGAAUAAGUCUGAUGUGAAAGCCCUCGGCUUAACCGAGGAACUGCAUCGGAAACUGUUUUUCUUGAGUGCAGAAGAGGAGAGUGGAACUCCAUGUGUAGCGGUGGAAUGCGUAGAUAUAUGGA
rnacentral:rRNA from 1 species